CUGGGGGAUAGUUUAAGGGUAGAACACCUGAUUCUGGCUCAGGUAGUUGGGGUUCGAAUCCCUGUCCCCCAGCC
rnacentral:tRNA from 1 species